rnacentral:rRNA from 1 species
CCUACGGGGGGCAGCAGUGGGGAAUAUUGGACAAUGGGGGCAACCCUGAUCCAGCCAUGCCGCGUGUGUGAAGAAGGCCCUCGGGUUGUAAAGCACUUUCAGUGAGGAAGAACGCCUGGUGGUUAAUACCCAUCAGGAAAGACAUCACUCACAGAAGAAGCACCGGCUAACUCCGUGCCAGCAGCCGCGGUAAUACGGAGGGUGCGAGCGUUAAUCGGAAUUACUGGGCGUAAAGCGCGCGUAGGUGGCUUGAUAAGCCGGUUGUAAAAGCCCCGGGCUCAACCUGGGAACGGCAUCCGGAACUGUCAAGCUAGAGUGCAGGAGAGGAAGGUAGAAUUCCCGGUGUAGCGGUGAAAUGCGUAGAGAUCGGGAGGAAUACCAGUGGCGAAGGCGGCCUUCUGGACUGACACUGACACUGAGGUGCGAAAGCGUGGGUAGCAAACAGGAUUAGAUACCCUGGUAGUC